UCACACCUUGCGGUGGCAGUGUCCCCAGAGUGCCCAGCUCGAACUGAUGGCAACUGAGGAAAGGGGUUGCGCUCGUUAUGGCACUUAAGCCGACACCUCACGGCACGAGCUGACGACAACCAUGCAGCACCUUCACAGGAGUCCCGAAGGACCUCACCAUCUCUGGAUCGUUCUCCUGCAAUUCAAGCCCGGGUAAGGUUCCUCGCGUAUCAUCGAAUUAAACCACAUGUUCCUCCGCUUGUGCGGGCCCCCGUCAAUUCCUUUGAGUUUCACCGUUGCCGGCGUACUCCCCAGGUGGGAUGCUUAACGCUUUCGCUUGGCCGCUUGCAACUAUGUGCAAACAGCGGGCAUCCAUCGUUUACCGUGCGGACUAC
rnacentral:misc_RNA from 1 species